rnacentral:rRNA from 1 species
CCUGGCGGCACUAGCGCGGUGGUCCCACCUGACCCCAUGCCGAACUCAGAAGUGAAACGCCGUAGCGCCGAUGGUAGUGUGGGGUCUCCCCAUGCGAGAGUAGGGAACUGCCAGA